UCCUGUGAGGUAGAAAACGUUUAAAGCACAGGGAGAUGAGGAAGGAUAGGAUAGAGAGAGUUGGAGAGGGAACAAGGAUCAGGAGAGGAAACGAGGAUCAGGAGAGGGAGGGGUUGUUGGGCAGCGACCUUCGCAGCAGCGUCUGCAGCUGCAUGUCGGCAGAAACAAAGUCGUCACUGAUGUUGGACAGUUACAAACAGCAUUAGCUGUAGGCAGCAGGACAGCGUCCAGCAAAGCAGAACCUUAUCAUGAUGUAAGAUAGGUUUGCAAUCAGACUUCAAAGCUUCCCAUGCUUCCAAGGAGAACCAACGUGUGACAAGCAUCUGUGGAGUCUGUAGAUGGUAACAGACUCUCCUUCUGCUAGUUUACUAGCUUCAGUCAACGCGAUCAACUCUGCAGCCUGAGCAGAGUAGUGUCUUAGCAGGAGCCAGACUUCAAGACGGACUCUUGAUAGUAAUGUUCAGCAUGUUGAGCAAAGUGGUGUUGCAUCUAAGCCAUCAGGCUGUAGAACGUGGGAUCUAUUCCAAAAGAAUCAAAGACACAGUAUGAGGACAAAAGAACAGAAGUCGUACAACCUGAUUUCUCAUCCACUGUUUGAGUAAAAGGUCGCGUAGGGUCAGAUCAAAGACCCAAAGUAGGAGCCUGAAGAGCAAGCAUGAGGUCAGUGAACGUUGUUCAGCUUCAGACGUCCACGUGAGACAAGAAGUGGACGAUGAAGACGUCUGCAUCAGAACCCUGAGUGGGGCCUCAAAGAAGGUAAAGUUAGGAAUAAAGUUCCUACAAUAAGAACGAAGACCUAGAAAAGACAUCAGCUGUUUAUACGUGCACGGUUUAGGCAGGUCUCAAAUUGCUUUAACUCUGUUGGGUGAGAUGGAUUUGCCAUCAGCUGUAAUUACAAUGACCCAGAAAAAUAACCUUUGUCUGAACAAACUGUAAUUUAGACAGGCUCUCUUUGUGGCCUGUAGCAUCCAAUGUUUCAGUAUCUUAGCGGUGUCUGCAGUAACGCCAUCUUUGGCUCCUUUAAGAGGGUGUUGUUGUUUACAUGGUCUGUGGUCAGAUUUAGGUGUGAUGACCACUGGUUCACAUCCUCUGAUCAAACCUACAUCAUAUCUGUGUGUGAGCCACAGGGAAGCAGGGCUUCCUGUAAGGCUGAGUGUUGGGUCAGAGCGUCCGUUCUCAUGCCAGGCUACUUUAAAACAGCUCAAUACAUCCUAAAAGCAGAGUUGCAAUUGUCGUGGUUUAAACUAGUGUUUCUACAGCCUGAAAAGCUCAAAAACGAUGUUUUAGUGUUUCUGCAUUGGUUUUUUAACAUUACAAUUUAUAAUGGUCAUGUUCUCAUGCCAGGCUACUGUAAAACAGCUCAAUACA
rnacentral:lncRNA from 1 species